rnacentral:rRNA from 1 species
GGAGGACACUGGGGAUCGCAAGACCUUGCGCUCAUUGAGCGGCCGCUCCCUGAUUAGCUAGUUGGUGAGGUAAAGGCUUACCAAGGCGACGAUCAGUAGCUGGUCUGAGAGGACGACCAGCCACACUGGGACUGAGACACGGCCCAGACUCCUACGGGAGGCAGCAGUGGGGAAUUUUGGACAAUGGGGGAAACCCUGAUCCAGCCAUGCCGCGUGAGUGAAGAAGGCCUUCGGGUUGUAAAGCUCUUUCAGCCGGAACGAAACGGUCACGGCUAAUACCUGUGACUACUGACGGUACCGGAAGAAGAAGCACCGGCUAACUACGUGCCAGCAGCCGCGGUAAUACGUAGGGUGCGAGCGUUAAUCGGAAUUACUGGGCGUACAGCGUGCGCAGGCGGUUUUGUAAGUCAGAUGUGAAAUCCCCGGGCUUAACCUGGGAACUGCGUUUGAAACUACAAGGCUAGAAGGG